CCUCUCCGUAGCCAUUGUUCCAUUCUCUCCAAAUCUCCGUUACGUUGCAGUAACUAUCCACUCUAAAAUCAUUGAUUCUGCUCUUUACACCUUCUUACAAGAUGUAUCCUUUCACCUCCUUUUGUUUUCGUCCUGUAUAAUCUAUUUCUCGAUUCUUAUUAUAUACUGUAAUCUACGAUUUCUUCAGUCGAAGAUCAAGCUAUGUCCAUGAGAUCUGCUAAGUCCUUCGGAAAGUCUUAUGUCACUGUGUAUUUCACCAACAUCUCCCCGGGUACAGCGGAAUCAGAACUAGGCUUCCGGUUGAUCCGUUUCUGGGAGACGAUAAGCACAGCUAAAGGUGGUUUGCUUAUUGGCUUUGAGCUUCUCCUUACAGGCAAGCAGAAAUGGCUACGCACAACUCGAAAUCUACCGCAUCAAUAUUUUUCUCCCGUUCUUAGUGGUUUGUAAAUUUGUCGUUUCAUCGCUCCAAUGUCACAAAGAAACUAUUCGAAUUUACAUUUCUUGCCACUACUCACAGGUUUCGCAGCUGCGGUUUGGACAUAGCUGCAACAGUUAUCUUCUUUUUUAAAAAAAAAAAACAGCUGUGAUCAAGUCAAUUUUUUCCAGGCAUCCAGAUGAUUAUUAACAAAAAAAAAUUGUUUGAGCUGGAAUCUGAACUUCGUGUCAUGGAAAGCCUCUGGCAGCUGAAACUGGGAUAAUUCUGUAUUCUUUUAUCUUUAACUUGGAUGGGGGCAACCACAGGUAUUAUUUUGUUGUUCAAAGAGUUGAAUCCAAACAGCCUUUAGGAGAAGAAGCAAAAAUUUACCUGAGAAAAGUUAUACAAGAGCUUUCUGUGUAGGUUUUUUUCUUAAAUACGUAGGUGAAACUCUGAACACCCUGCUCCUGCAAAAAGCCGCAUUUGAAUCUACAGAUUGAGAAUUCACUUACAAACUCAAACGAACAGCAAUGCUCUCUAUUCAGAGAUCAUGUUGAGAGAUCCCAGAGCUUUUUACACAGAUUUCUAUCAUGGCCGCUGAAACUGGAAGCACUGCUCUUUUCACUGUGAUUUGUAGCUUUGCUUCAAGGCGUGUACCCUUUUGCGCAAACAAGUUCUUCAAGACUGUACUUGGUUUCAGUUUUGUCAUACUGCUUUGGGCUGUGGAUAGACUCGGGAGGUGAUUACUUAGCGCAUACUUCUUCCAUGGG